GACGAACGCUGGCGGCGUGCUUAACACAUGCAAGUCGAACGGAAAGGCCCCGCUUUUGUGGGGUGCUCGAGUGGCGAACGGGUGAGUAACACGUGAGUAACCUGCCCUUGACUUUGGGAUAACUUCAGGAAACUGGGGCUAAUGCCGGAUAGGAGCUCCUGCUGCAUGGUGGGGGUUGGAAAGUUUCGGCGGUUGGGGAUGGACUCGCGGCUUAUCAGCUUGUUGGUGGGGUAGUGGCUUACCAAGGCUUUGACGGGUAGCCGGCCUGAGAGGGUGACCGGCCACAUUGGGACUGAGAUACGGCCCAGACUCCUACGGGAGGCAGCAGUGGGGAAUAUUGCACAAUGGGCGGAAGCCUGAUGCAGCAACGCCGCGUGCGGGAUGACGGCCUUCGGGUUGUAAACCGCUUUCGCCUGUGACGAAGCGUGAGUGACGGUAAUGGGUAAAGAAGCACCGGCUAACUACGUG
rnacentral:rRNA from 1 species